AGCAGCCGCGGUAAUUCCAGCUCCAAUAGCGUAUAUUAAAGUUGUUGCAGUUAAAAGCUCGUAGUUGAAUUUCGGGAUUGGCGCAUCGGUCGUGCCUCACGGGGUAUGAACUGGUGCAGUCAAUUUCUCACCUUCUGGAGAACCGCGAUGUCCUUAAUUGGAUGCCGCGGGGAACCAGGACCUUUACUUUGAAAAAAUUGAGUGUUUAAAGCAGGCAUUUUUGCUUGAAUACAUUAGCAUGGAAUAAUAAAAUAGGACGGCAUGGUUCUAUUUUGUUGGUUUCUAGGACCACCGUAAUGAUUAAUAGGGAUAGUUGGGGGCAUUAGUAUUCAAUUGUCAGAGGUGAAAUUCUUGGAUUUAUUGAAGACUAACUACUGCGAAAGCAUUUGCCAAGGAUGUUUUCAUUAAUCAAGAACGAAAGUUAGGGGAUCGAAGACGAUCAGAUACCGUCGUAGUCUUAACCAUAAACUAUGCCGACUA
rnacentral:misc_RNA from 1 species